rnacentral:sRNA from 1 species
UAUUUAAUCUUAUUUAAUUACUACAAAAUUAUCAUUUUUGAUAUUGUUUUUCUACAUGACUAUAAUAAUUCGAUUAUAAUCAUCAAACCGCAGAGAUAUUUGAUAGCAUUUAAUUAUUACAAAAUUAAAAAAUAUUUAGACAAUGAUUCAUAAACAUAUCAUAAAUAAAAUCAGUGAGUUUUUUUUACAGGACGGAUUGACGGGACGAGUUUGACAGGACGUUACUUAAUAACAAUCGUAAACUAUAAAAUAAAAAUAUUUUAUAGAUAAAUAUAAUUUGCAAACUUUUAUAUAUAGUAACUUUAAAAAAUAAAUUGUCUUCGCGGUAUACCGCGGGUUAAAAUCUAGUAAGACCUAAUAGAGUACCAAGGCUAGAACAAUUAAUACGAGUAUCGCGUAUGAAAAAGAAUAUACAUGUAUUCUGAUAACUAUA